AACCGGUGGACUAAACAUCAAGCCUCUGCACGAUUCAGGUAAGUGGAAUAAAAUACAUUGUAAAUAAACAUUAUUAAAACAGAUUGUGAAGUCAUUCAUUCAAAACUUGCUAUGACCUAAGCCUAAAUGACUUAAUUUCUUUUUAGAAUUAAGACAACCUUAGCAGGAGAGCCCCAGCAGUAACUUUCUCUCAAGCAGAUGAGCAAUAAGUUGCUUUGUAUGAACACCACCCUAACAAUCAAGUAGCCUGUUAACAGUAGACCAAAGCUUGACAAAAAUGUAGCUUGAAGGAGAAGGGACAGCUGAGUAACAAAGUCCUGGUACGCAGACGACGAUACUAUUACACUGACAAGAGUGUAAUGAUGAUGGAGACACAAGCCAGAGAAAGGGGGGACCAAACACCAGGCCAGAAUUCUGCAUGAGUCAGAUCCAGUGGGUGCAGAUCAUCAUACAGAUGGUUCAAGUGUGGAUCCACCUAAUAUUCAAGAUUUUCUGUCCUGGGACACUCGGCUAACCAUCAAGAAAGAACACA